rnacentral:rRNA from 1 species
UACGGGGGGGGCAAGCGUUGUUCGGAAUUACUGGGCGUAAAGGGCUCGUAGGCGGCCAACUAAGUCAGACGUGAAAUCCCUCGGCUUAACCGGGGAACUGCGUCUGAUACUGGAUGGCUUGAGUGUGGGAGAGGAAUGCGGAAUUCCAGGUGUAGCGGUGAAGUGCGUAGAUAUCUGGAGGAACACCAGUGGCGAAGGGGGCUCACUGGUCCGGUACUGACGCUGAGGUGCGAAAGCGUGGGGAGCAAACAGG